rnacentral:tRNA from 3 species
GCCCUCGUAGCUCAGUCGGAUAGAGCAACGGACUUCUAAUCCGCAGGUCGCAGGUUCGAUUCCUGCCGAGGGCGCCA